GUCGAGGGGUUAUGUAUCAGYAAUGRUAUAUGACGACCGGCGCACGGGUGCGUAACACGUAUGCAACCAACCCCGGAUUUUGGGAUAGCCCGGCGAAAGCCGGAUUAAUACCGAAUGACACAUUAUUUCUGCAUGGGAAUGAUGUUAAAGAGCGAUUGAUUCGGGACGGGCAUGCGUYCCAUUAGGUAGUUGGUAGGGUAACGGCCUACCAAGCCGACGAUGGAUAGGGGUUCUGAGAGGAAGGUCCCCCACACUGGUACUGAGACACGGACCAGACUCCUACGGGAGGCAGCAGUGAGGAAUAUUGGUCAAUGGCCGGAAGGCUGAACCAGCCAAGUCGCGUGCAGGAAGACGGCCUUAUGGGUUGUAAACUGCUUUUAGGCGGGAAUAAGGAGCGUCAUUUAUGGCGCGGUGCAGGUACCGUCAGAAUAAGCAUCGGCUAACUCCGUGCCAGCAGCCGCGGUAAUACGGAGGAUGCGAGCGUUAUCCGGAUUUAUUGGGUUUAAAGGGUGCGUAGGUUGGCGAUCAAGUCAGCGGUGAAAGUUUGUUGCUUAACGACAGAAUUGCCGUUGAAACUGGUUGUCUUGAGUAUGAUUGAGGCAGGCGGAAUGCGAGGUGUAGCGGUGAAAUGCAUAGAUAUUUCGCAGAACUCCGAUUGCGAAGGCAGCUUGCCAAGCCAAUACUGACACUGAAGCACGAAAGCGUGGGUAUCAAACAGGAUUAGAUACCCUGGUAGUCCACGCUGUAAACGAUGAUUACUGGCUGUUUGUUUGUAGAGAUAAGCGGCGAAGCGAAAGCGUUAAGUAAUCCACCUGGGGAGUACGCCGGCAACGGUGAAACUCAAAGGAAUUGACGGGGGCCCGCACAAGCGGAGGAACAUGUGGUUUAAUUCGAUGAUACGCGAGGAACCUUACCCGGGAUU
rnacentral:rRNA from 1 species